rnacentral:lncRNA from 8 species
CAAAUACUUAUUUCCCUCAUUAAAAUGCAAAUCAUUUUAUAACAUUUUUGACAUGUGUUUUUCUGGAUUUUUUUGUUGUUAUUCUGUCUCUCACUGUUCAAAUAAACCUAACAUUAAAAUUAUAGACUGAUCAUUUCUUUGUCAGUGGGCAAAUGUACAAAAUCGGCAGGGGAUCAAAUACUAUUUUCCCUCACUGUAUGUUCAAUUGUCUUCCUCUUACUAUAAAAUAAUUAUCCUGGACUUAUAAGCAAAUCUAAUUGAACUAGUGUAGCCCACAACCAAAUGGCCAGAUCAGGACCUAACAUAAGGACAACUCAUACUAAUCUGUUCUUCUGAAAUAGGCUACAUUUUCUUCAUAUUAUAAUGUUUCUUAAGACCUGCCUAAACUAAAUAAUGGAUUUAUUGUGAUGGUGUAGGCUAUAUUAAAUCGAUGUAUUAGACUUUUUAAAAUUCCAAAGGUCCACAUCAGCAGCUUGUAGUCUAUGCAUGGAGGCCCGGAGAUGCUAAACAUGUUGAUGUUAAUUAACGGUCAAUUACUGUGAGAACGGCAGUUAUUUGCGUUACCCGCUGACAUUUCAUGACCGCCACAGCCCUAUUCAUGUCUAUGGUUUGAUGUGUGUGUUAGGUGUGUGUGUUACCGUAAUUGAUGUAUUUUGUUGGUUUCAGGGUUCUGAUGGAAACCCAGGAGCUCAAGGUCCCAGAGGACUUACAGGACAACAGGGAGCCAAAGGAGACAAGGGAGAGAGUGCAGAGGGAUUGCCAGGACCGCCUGGGAAGGCAGGAGAGCCUGGUGAUCGGGGUCCCCGUGGGCCUGCUGGAGGCCUUGGAGUCAAGGGGGACCGGGGCCAGCCAGGUGAGCCUGGAUCACAAGGUGACAGGGUGAGUAGAGACUCUUUAACCCAUUUUGACUCCUGCUGUUAAACUGGUGUGUCUGCUGUGGGUUGUAACUGACUGUGUUGUCUUUCCAGGGGGAGAGAGGACUUGCUGGCUUGCUAGGGGAGAGGGUGAGUGCAGUACCAUGCAUUUCACUGUGACCUUGUUCAU